UUCGAUGCAACGCGAAAACCUUACCCACCUUUGACAUGGCAGGAAUCCCGAAGAGAUUGGGAGUGCUCGAAAGAGAACCUGCACACAGGUGCUGCAUGGCUGUCGUCAGCUCGUGUCGUGAGAUGUUGGGUUAAGUCCGCAACGAGCGCAACCCUUGCCAUUAGUUGCUACGAAAGGGCACUCUAAAUGGGACUGCCGGUGACAAACCGGAGGAAGGUGGGGAUGACGUCAAGUCCUCAUGGCCCUCAUAGGUGGGGCUACACACGUCAUACAAUGGCCGGUACAGAGGGUAGCCAACCCGCGAGGGGGAGCCAAUCCCACAAAGCCGGUCGUAGUCCGGAUCGCAGUCUGCAACUCGACUGCGUGAAGUCGGAAUCGCUAGUAAUCGCGGAUCAGCAUGUCGCGGUGAAUACGUUCCCGGGUCUU
rnacentral:rRNA from 1 species